rnacentral:rRNA from 1 species
AAUGAACGCUGGCGGCAGGCCUAACACAUGCAAGUCGAACGGAUCCUUCGGGAUUAGUGGCGGACGGGUGAGUAACGCGUGGGAACAUACCCUUUGGUACGGAAUAGCCUCGGGAAACUGGGAGUAAUACCGUAUGUGGUCGAGAGACGAAAGAUUUAUCGCCAAAGGAUUGGCCCGCGUUGGAUUAGGUAGUUGGUGGGGUAAUGGCCUACCAAGCCGACGAUCCAUAGCUGGUUUGAGAGGAUGAUCAGCCACACUGGGACUGAGACACGGCCCAGACUCCUACGGGAGGCAGCAGUGGGGAAUCUUAGACAAUGGGGGAAACCCUGAUCUAGCCAUGCCGUGUGAUCGAUGAAGGCCUUAGGGUUGUAAAGAUCUUUCAGGUGGGAAGAUAAUGACUGUACCAUCAGAAGAAGCCCCGGCUAACUCCGUGCCAGCAGCCGCCGUAA